ensembl:lncRNA
UCCCUCGUAGGAGGAAGAUCUGGAAAAGAUAAGAGCAAUUGCACAUUGCCAGUUGACUGAAAACUCAACCCCCAAAUGAACUGCUGAAAUACAAAGAGGCACAAGGCAAUUUUCCUGUUUUCCUCUUUGCUGCAGCUGCAGGAGCCAAGUUGGUUGCCUUUGGCUUCCAUGAACAAGACUACAUAGACAUAAUCAGACAAAUGACACAGCAAGGGAAUCAAAGAACACCAAGAAAAUCUGUGCAUCCAGUCCCCUCAGAUCUCUGCUGUCACCUCUCUAACAAGUGCAAGGCCAAAUGUGCUGAACUCCUUCUGCUUUAGGAACUAA